rnacentral:rRNA from 1 species
UACGGAGGAUGCAAGUGUUGUCCGGAAUCACUGGGCGUAAAGCGUCUGUAGGUGGUUUAAAAAGUCUGCUGUUAAAAGUUGAAGCUUAACUUCAAAGAUGCCGUAGAAACUUUUAAACUUGAGGAUGGUAGGGGUAGAGGGAAUUUCCAGUGGAGCGGUGAAAUGCGUAGAUAUGUGAAAGACCACCAAUGGCGAAGGCACUCUACUGGGCCAUUACUGACACUGAGAGACGAAAGCUAGGGGAGCAAAUGGG